GACGAACGCUGGCGGCGUGCUUAACACAUGCAAGUCGAACGGUAAGGCCCUUCGGGGUACACGAGUGGCGAACGGGUGAGUAACACGUGGGUGAUCUGCCCUGCACUUCGGGAUAAGCCUGGGAAACUGGGUCUAAUACCGGAUAGGACCACUGCCUGCAUGGGUGGCGGUGGAAAGCUUUUGCGGUGUGGGAUGGGCCCGCGGCCUAUCAGCUUGUUGGUGGGGUGAUGGCCUACCAAGGCGACGACGGGUAGACGGCCUGAGAGGGUGACCGGCCACACUGGGACUGAGAUACGGCCCAGACUCCUACGGGAGGCAGCAGUGGGGAAUAUUGCACAAUGUGCGCAAGCCUGAUGCAGCGACGCCGCGUGAGGGAUGACGGCCUUCGGGUUGUAAACCUCUUUCAGCACCGACGAAGCGCAAGUGACGGUAGGUGCAGAAGAAGGACCGGCCAACUACGUGCCAGCAGCCGCCGUAA
rnacentral:rRNA from 1 species